rnacentral:rRNA from 1 species
UACGGGGGGGGCAAGCGUUGUUCGGAAUUACUGGGCGUAAAGGGCUCGUAGGCGGCCAACUAAGUCAUACGUGAAAUCCCUCGGCUUAACCGGGGAACUGCGUCUGAUACUGGAUGGCUUGAGUUCGGGAGAGGGAUGCGGAAUUCCAGGUGUAGCGGUGAAAUGCGUAGAUAUCUGGAGGAACACCGGUGGCGAAAGGCGGCAUCCUGGACCGAUACUGACGCUGAGGAGCGAAAGCCAGGGGAGCGAAACAGGGAUUAGAAACCCCAGGUAGGUCCUAAGAACCCGA